GCGUGUCCCGUCUCCACCAGCCCCUGGGCCCUCUCUGUUACACCAGGCACUUCUGACUCCCAAAGCCCGCUCAGGGACACGCUCGCUGUUUGACCAGGGAGCCCCGUGUUCCUUGCUUUGAGACAUUUCCCUGCUUCUCCUUACAGAUCACGCAGCUAAAGAUCGCCAGUAACCCUUUUGCCAAGGGAUUCCGAGACUGCGACCCUGAGGAUUGGCCCAGGAAUCACAGGCCAGGGGCUCUUCCUCUCAUGAGUGCUUUUGCCAGAUCCCGGAAUCCAGUCUCUUCCCCAGCCCACCAGAACGGAACAGAGAAAGAUGCUGCCGAGAGCCGGCGGGAGUACGAGCGGGAGGCGGCGGGCGGGACGCCGC